rnacentral:rRNA from 1 species
GAUGAACGCUGGCGGCGUGCCUAAUACAUGCAAGUCGAGCGAACGGACGAGAAUCUUGCUUCUCUGAUGUUAGCGGCGGACGGGUGAGUAACACGUGGAUAACCUACCUAUCAGACUGGGAUAACUUCGGGAAACCGGAGCUAAUACCGUAUAAUCUUUUGAACCGCAUGGUUCAAAAGUGAAAGACGGUCUUGCUGUCACUUAUAGAUGGAUCCGCGCUGCAUUAGCUAGUUGGUAAGGUAACGGCUUACCAAGGCAACGAUGCAUAGCCGACCUGAGAGGGUGAUAGGCCACACUGGAACUGAGACACGGUCAAGACGACUAAGGGAGGCAGCAGUAGGGAAUCUUACGCAAUAGGCGAAAGCAUGACGGAGCAACGCCGCGUGAGUGAUGAAGGUCUUCGGAGCGUAAAACUCUGUUAUGAGGGAAGAACAUAUGUGUAAGUAACUGUGCACAGCUUGACGGUACCUAAUCAGAAAGCAACGGCUAACUACGUG